GGCGUCAGAAGGGCGAGCGUCUGGGAUAUUUUAAUAUUCAGUAUUCCCAGACUCAGCAGGCAGCAGGCUAAAUCUGUCCGCUGAUGGGCAGGCAUGAAUUAUGAAACCACUCACGUAGGUUGAGAGGUUGCCCGGUGCUGGGGAAGUGUGUCCACCAGCGUCUCCUCAAGCAGGUGGGGGGAAGGGUCGCUCCCCAGUCGGGAGGGAAGGUCGGAUGUGGACAGCUUGCAGUUCCUGCCCAGUAAAACACCAUCUGCAGAUGAGGAGGUCAAAGUGCUGAGUUCCAGUCCUGCAUCUGCUGUCACCGCCGGCCAUGAUGUAGGGCAAGUCACUCCCCCAGUGGGCUUUCAGCUUCUCCUUCUAAAAGCUGAUCUCCAGGGCCCUUCCAGCUCCACAGAUUUCUGGUAUUCACUGACGGAUGCUCUUGGACUUUGGAACCACAGUGUGUUUGGGAGAUUUUGCUUUUGAAGGUUUCCUUUUGAGAUUGCCUUCAUUCACUGGGCAUCUUCUUGCUGAGAAAUACCAUCAAGAAAGCAAAGACUGAAGUUCCUUUUCCUUCCCCAAAUGUGAUGCUUAAAUAAAAUUCAGUUUUGUGGCUCAAACACAGAGGAGUAGGGAAUGGAGAGGUUUUCUCCUGUCUUUGAGCAGUCCCAGCGGAGGCUAUAAACAGCACGAUAUCCCUUCUACCAGAUGGGCCACUGCACUUGGAGAGCCAAGCCGUCACAGAGAGUUGAGAAAUCAGUUGCAGAGAUGAGGAAAGGCUGGUGGCUGUGAUGUUGGUUUAUUCUCACAGCUGAAUAUAGUCAGCCCGGAGGCCUGGGAGAAGAUGGAGAAGACUAACCACUCUGAGAGGGUCUCAAACACGAGGUGGCGGGCUGUGAAGUUCCAAGUCACAGCUCAGGGAACUGGGAAAAUGGCCCCUUGGGCUGACUUUGGAUGCAAGGCCUUCUUGAGAGCAGGGCCAGCCUCAGGGAACAUUGGGACGGGCAGGGUUAGCUGGUCCUCGAAGCCUCUUUGGUGGCUUUGCCUCAUUUUUCUUAGUGCUCUGAUAUCUAGCCUCAGAUAUCCAGGGCUUCCUGCUGCCCCCAGAGCCCUUCCCACCAUGACUUACCUAGGCCACUGUUCAUUUAUCCAGUGACUAUUGUUUUUAAAUUUUUUUCGGCCCUCUUCCUUUCACCAUCAAUUUUAUUAAAAUUUUACCCGGGGGAUAGCACGGUGGAGUAGAAAGAGUCAUGGCCUGUGGAUGAUGAUCUUGGUCCUUUUACUCAUAGCACUGGGAACUUGGGUGAGUUGCUUGACUUCCCUGAGCCUCAGUUUCUCACUUUUGAGAUGGGUACAGUAAUAUGUAACAUAUAGUGGGGGAAUUAGAUGAGAUACAAAGGUUACCUCCAAAAAAAAAAAAAACCACCACAAGAAAUGUUAUUUCUUCCUUUCUGUUCCAUCUUAUACUUCCUGUCCAUUAGAAUCUGGGGAACUUAAAAAAUAAUGCUAAUGCCUGGGAUCCACCCCAUCCCCCACGGGGAGUUGGUACUCUUUGAAAGCUCCUGAGAUGACCGUGUGCAGCUGGGUUGAGACCCCCUGCCCUCAGGCAUCGCUGAUGAAGAGUUGGCUCCUCUAGGCUCAAUGCUGCUUCUAUUCUCAUCGCACUGGACCCGACUCCCAAAGUCAAUCUGUCUUGUGUGUUUUAGUCUGACAAAUAGCAGGUGAUUAAUUAAGGUUUGUGCACUGGAUCCUUCCCCUGUGUCCUGGAAAUUUGUUUUCAUCGGCACCGUAACAGGAGUGGGGCCAUCUUUUCUUCUGGUAUAAGAGGUGGGAGAGGGUAGAUUCGAUGUCCUGAGACGUUGUGGCAGAGAUCACUGGCUGAAAACCAGACAUUCUCUGGGACAUUGGCUGAGAAUCAGAGGGGCCAGGUAGGACAGGUGAGCUGGUUGGGUGGAUUUCCUGUCUUCCUUCAGCAAUGCCGAGGCAGGAAGCCAGGCACCCAGGCUGGGAUGAACUUGGUGAAUCUACGAAUCUGGGGAUUGGGCCAUUCCAAGGUGCUAUGGGCAACGAGACUGUGCCUGACCGUGAGGUGAGCCCUGGGAGGGGAGGCAGGUAUUUCUGACUGCAAGUGGCUUCCUGGGCUACUCCUUCUCCCUCCCAGUUACGUCUUGAAGGAGAUCUUCAAACUGUACACUCUUGACCAAUCUGGAGGUCAUCCGCAGACAAUUCUUGCGUACCCCAAAGCUUCCUGCAUCUUCUGCCUGAGGGUGUUCUCCGGUGGUGGGAGCUUGGCCCUCACUUGGUGGCAUGCUGGAAGUGUUGGGAAAUUGAUGGUUUUGGUCCAGCUUCACAUGGAGGGAUGGCACUUGGUGGAUGAACACCCGAGCUUCCCUGCCCUUUGAUGAGACAGACCUGAGGCAUGUUCUGCACUGUUCCUAGAGGGUCUCUUAUGUGACUGAGCCACGGAUGCCCACGAUGACAACACUCUUGUCAUGAACCUUUGGCUGGCUUUCUUCCCUUCCCUCUCUCACUUCCCCACUCCCUCCCUGUCUUUCCUGGGAUCACCUCACAAAUAGGCUACUUGGAUCCCAAUCCUUGUCUCAGGGUCUGCUUCUGAGGGCAAACAUUUGUUUUUCAUCAUCCUUUUUUAACUCACAGGAGUUUAACGUCUCAGUCUACACAUCUGUCUUGUGAGAUGGAUCGGUCAACGUUCUCUGGGGAUCCAUUAUGGAGCUCACCACUUUAUGUCUUCACUGUUUUUCAGUCUUUCCUUCUGGAGCCUUCACGGAUAGGGAGGGGAAGGAAAUCAUGUUAAAAGUACAGCGCUUUCCAAUCCACAGAUUGCAAUCCAUAAGGAGUUACAAAAGCCAUUUUUGAAAAAUGAAAGGAAACGAAUAUGAUGUAUCAGAGUAUACUACGCAUUGGAAGGCUCCAUACUGUUAUAUAAAAACUGCAUUUCAGUCAUGUGUGAAUAUUCUUGCAUGUUGGUGAAAUAUAUUUCUUAAUGUGGAUUGUGAUCAAAAAUUUUUGAAGUCACUGCCAUGGUGGGCCUCUGUGGUUUAUGCCUCUCCAGGAUCCAUUCUUCCCUUUCCUUCUGUUAAGAGCACCUCAAUAGUCCUUACAACAAGGAAAGAUUAUGCCUCUACUUGGACAUAGUCUUGAUGGGACUGUCAGUCAAAGUGUUCCACCAUUCCUUUCUCUAAAGAUGGUCACAUGACCCACGGCAGGUCCGUCAGAUGAUCGCUCCAGGGAACCUGAAUCUAGAGAGGACACAGACAAGGGCUGAAAUAGCUGAGGAUGCUUCAUUCAAAGAGGAUGUCUGGAAAUCAACAUAUAUUUUUUCCCCUGCUACCUGGAUCCUUGAACUUUCUUGUUUUCUUUCCCUUCUAAGAUUUGGGUGUUCAGCCUUUGGGUUGGUUCUGUGAAAUAGCUGUGGACCACUUCUCUAUUUUUUUUACCCCUUAGGUAGGGAGAGCUGUUUUCUGUUGCUAGAAACCAAAGAACCCUCUCGUACCUAAGGGCUUUGGAGUUAUCUGACCCUAACUCUACUACUUUCUGCCUCUGUGAGUGGAAAAUUACUUAACUUCUCUAAGCUUCAGUUUCCUCUCUUGUAAAAUGGGGAUGUUAAUGUCAGUUUAGAGGGUAUAGAUGAUAUUUAUAUGGCCACUGGCCCUAGACCCUCAACUAAAGGCAGCAACUAUUGUGGACCAAAUUUUAAUCAUCUUUGUUUUACUAGUGAUGACUUUCCACUUAUUAAAUAUCUGUGGAGUGAAUAAAUGAACCCACAUGACAAUGUGGAUUUUCACGAUGAAAACCCACAGCUGAGUAUCUUAGACAGUUACAACCCCUUGGGUAUCAAACAUGUGAUUUAUUGUUCAAAAAGUUAAUAUGAGAAAAUCUCCAUGACCUGGGUUAGGCAAAAGAGUGCUUACUAAUGAUAAUAAAACCAUAAUCCCUAAAAGAAAAAAUUGAUACACUGGACAUCCUCCAAAUUAGAAACUUCUGCCCCAUGAAAGAUAAUGUUAAGAGAAUAAAAAGACAACCUAGAGACUGGGAGAAAUAUUUUGCAAAUCGCACAUCCAACAAAGGACUUGUAUCUAGAGUAUAUAAAACCUGAAAAACACACAACCUAAUUUAAAAAUGAGCAAAAGACUUAAACAGAUGUAUCACCAAAGAGGACAUACAGAGGGCAAAGAAGUGCACUGAAAGAUGCUCCGCAUCAUUAGUCAUUAGGGAAAAGCAAAUUAAAGUCAUGAUGAGAUACAACCACAUACGAUCAGAAUGGCUAAAAUCAAAAUACUGACAAUACCAAGGGCUGACAAGGAUGCAGAACAACUGGACCUCUCCCACAUUGCUGGUGGGAAUGGAAAAUGGCUCAAGUACUCUGGAAGACAAUUUGAUCAUUUUUUAUAAAGUUAAACCUCCACAUACCACAUGGCCCAACAAUCCUGCUCCUGAGAAAUGAAGUGAAAACUUAUGUUCACGCGAAACCCGUACACAUCUUUGUAGCAGCUCUAUUCAUAAUCAUUCCAAGCUGGAAACAGCUCCGAUGUCCUUCAGCAGUUGAGUGGAUAUACAAACUGUGGUACAUCCCUACAACGUCAGAAAACCCAGUAAUAAAAAGGAAUGAAGUAUUGAUGACACAACAAACUUGGACGAAUUGUAGAGGCAUUAUGCUGAGUGAAAGAAGCCAGUCUCAAAGGAGAGAAAACUGAGCCUCAGAGAGGUUAAAGAAAUUUCUAAGGAUGCACAACUGCUUGCACGCUGUUGGCUGUCUCAGGCUCUCCACGUGGUGGCGAGACGGUAGCUCCAGCCCCUGAAUCCUCUGGGUUCCUGGGACAGCGGGAGAGAUGUCCUCCUUUUCUCAACAGCUCAAGCAAGUCAUGGGAUGAAAUAAUUCAAAAAAUAUUUACUGAGGGCCCACUAUGCACCAGGGACUCUUCCGUAUGCUGGGACACGGAGAAGAAGAGACAGAAGAGCUUCUGGUCGUCAUGGAGCUUUCACACGACAGCCUUUGUGGGCUCUGAUUGGACUGUCUUUGGACACGUGCUAUCUGUGAACCAAUCACUGUAGCCUGGAGUAUGUGACGUAAGGAGUGGCUUGGGCUGGGUCGUGUGCCCCUCUUAAAGAAGGCAAGCUGCUUCUUUGUGAGUGCAGGCACUAUGUCCUGGUUAUGUUUGUGGUGUGUCUCCAGGCGCAACGCAAGGAUGUGCCCAUCAUAAGCAUAUGAGAAAUGAUGCCACAUGAGUGAGUGAACAACUGAAUAAAUAAGCAAAAGAGGGAGAAAGUACAUGAUAGGCAAAUGCAUAGAAACUCCUUAAAAGGGGACAAAUCCAAACAAACAACCAUAAAAUGAUGGCUAUCAGUGGCCAACCAGAAAAGUGAUAUAAUAGUCACUGUAAAUUGUGUGCUAAAAAUAUUUGCACAGUGUUUCUCAUCAGGACAAGAAAAUCCUACUCAUUAUUCAGAGAAACAUUAGAAACAAAACUGAAGUUGUGGUUACUUUCGAAGUCGUCCUUGGGGUCGACAAACCCAAGGGUCACUCUGGGCCUCACACUUUGAGGAGCAUGUGAAAGAAGCAAUGCAGACAGCUCACAGCUGGCAGGUAAAAUAUGUUGAUGUCAUUAUGUAAACAUCUGCCACCCUCACCUUUCCGCUUUCCCUGUCUCAGCCUGCUGUGGACACCUGGGAAACGUUUCUCCUCGCUGUCUGAUGUUCUUGGGCACAGCCUCUCAGUUUCUUUGAUGGAGGCUGCCUUUGAUGUUCAUUUUAUGCAGAUUUCAAUUGGUAAAAAAAUACAAGGCAAGAAAAAAAUCUGAAAGAAAAAUUUAUACCUCUAAAACCUAGCAUGGGAAGGGUCUUUUAUUGGUCCUAGAUCCUGAAAGAUUUGUUUCCAACUGUCUUGUACAAAACCUCGGUGGGUCAGCACGUGGAGGAAUGUGUGUAAUUUUAGUCGUUGCACAGCUCAAGAAAGGACACGUAGAGGACACACAGGAAGAGGCAAACUAAAUUAUUAAGAGGACCCUACCUUUGAACAAGACUUUAAAGGAUAUGGACCCAAAAGUGGAAAGACCAAAGUUUUAAAGAAAUAAGUAGAUGCUAUGAGUUCAUGAAGGGCAUGGGAAAGAUGCCUAUAAAUGAGCUGGUUCGCCAAAUCCCAAUGGACCCAAAUAUGAUGUUUCUAAAAGGAUGGCUCAUAGUGAGUAGGAGUGGUUGCAAACAAUGGUGGCAAACACUUGGAAUUUACUACCCUUAGAAGUAGCACUGUUUGAAAAGAUAAAGUUCUUUAAGAAUUUGGGUAAGUCUAUGGGUGAGAGAGCAAGAGGGAGUCUUCAGAGAUGGGAGGGUGCUCUAGAGGCAGCCCCACCCAUAAGGGACAAUCACACCCACCCUCAGUUCUUCUGUCAGAGACAGAGUGUUAGACAAGCAUCCAGGUGGAUCAUGGACGAGCUCAGGACAGGUCUCAACAAUGUUGUGAGAAUAAACCAAGGAGAUCUGCUGGUAAUAUGAUCCUUCAGUUCUUUUUCGGAAAAAGAGGCAACAGCUGUCCUGUCACAAAUGGUUGAAUGUCCAUGUUCCAUCUCCACCUGUAGCCCAGAAUAAUAUCUACUCUUGGUUGUUUUUCUCAGGGGCGCAGGAGACGUGUGGCAUGUUCUUCAGGAUUGGGAAGUUUGGACAGCGCUGUCAUCGCUGGGGGGACACGGAGGAUUGAAAUUCUGAGGAGACCCUCCGGGGCCCAGGGACCCCUGAGAAUAAUUGGAGGCUGGGGAGGCCCCUGGAGCUGACGGAGGGAACAGCGGCUCCCCUACUGGAAGCCCGAGGAACAGCAGUCCUGCCUCGCUGGAGUCAGCAGACAGUCACAGGGCCCAAGGAUGCCACCGUUCAAGAGCAGAAGGCAGGCCUAGGAGUCUGGUGGAGCGUGGUGGGCAGAGGCCAAAGAAAGCCUGGAUCCUUUUUGAGCUUCCAAGUCUCAGGACACAGAGGUCCCUGACUUUAGAAGCAUAGAAACGUUAGUACAGAAAGGAAUCUUCAAAAGUGAGGGUAAAAUUAUUUAAUACAGUUCUGUGGUUUCCAAACCCGAAACAAAAAUUAGUUGCUUUUCUCUAGACUGAUUCAGCCAACAAAUAUUUGUUAGGAGUCUGCAAUCAGCGUAUUCAGAAAGACUUCACAUGUGAAAUAUACAUUUUUAAAAAAAUGACGUUAUCAAAUCCCUUCAGUGGUCUUUUCUAAAAUAUUUAUAACCUGAAAGCAAUAAUGUACAUAGUAAAAAAUUCAAACUGAACCAAAAGUUAUACAAUGGAAAGUAAAAAUCCUCUCUUUCUCCCUUGAAUGUCUGUUUAAAAUGCUCAAAGAGCUUGGCGUAUAGUAGCUGUUCAAUAAACAUUAGUUUGCUACCGAUGAACGUUGAAGGUGGACCAGAAAAAACAGCAACAAAAUGUGUUAUCAAACGGAAAACCAACUGGGCAGUGCGUGAGGGAUGGGGUCAGGGGCCAGAGGUGUGACAGCCAGGUCCACCACUGUUGCUUUUGAAUUUGAGAGCUUUAAAGGUUAUUUAACCCAGACUCGACCAAAUGUUUAGAGAAGGUGUUCUGUGUCACUCUGGGAGCCUCUGUAAGCAGAGAACCCAGGGUCAUGAGUUAAAAGGAGUAGGAUCAGUUUUUCCACAUCUAGUAGAAGAGAGAGGAUGAAGGAACCGAGGCCUGUAAACGUUUUGAGAAUAAUAUGAGAAAAGCAGCCAUUCAUCAGAAGACAUUAUUUCUAUUUUACUAUUAAAUGGAUGCUAAUUUUCCUUCUUUGACUUUCUUUUUUUCUUCCCAGCCCUGGCUGCCAAUUUCCUCCUUCCUGUUG
ensembl:lncRNA